UCGCAGGCUAGUUGCCGAGACAGCUCGCGUAAAAAAAGCCCGCACCUUGAUGGAUGCGGGCUUUUUUUAU
rnacentral:sRNA from 1 species